rnacentral:rRNA from 1 species
UACGAAGGGGGCUAGCGUUGCUCGGAAUCACUGGGCGUAAAGCGCGCGUAGGCGGCUUUGCAAGUCGGGUGUGAAAUCCCCAGGCUUAACCUGGGAACUGCAUUCGAGACUGCAUUGCUAGAGUAUGGGAGAGGGAAGUGGAAUUUCCGGUGUAGCGGUGAAAUGCGUAGAUAUCAGGAAGAACACCAAUGGCGAAAGCAGCUUUCUGGGACGGUACUGACGCUGAGACGCGAAAGCGUGGGGAGCGAACAGG